UGGGGAAUAUUGGACAAUGGGCGCAAGCCUGAUCCAGCCAUGCCGCGUGAGUGAUGAAGGCCCUAGGGCUGUAAAGCUCUUUCACCGGUGAAGAUAAUGACGGUAACCGGAGAAGAAGCCCCGGCUAACUUCGUGCCAGCAGCCGCGGUAAUACGAAGGGGGCUAGCGUUGUUCGGAUUUACUGGGCGUAAAGCGCACGUAGGCGGACUUUUAAGUCAGGGGUGAAAUCCCGGGGCUCAACCCCGGAACUGCCUUUGAUACUGGAAGUCUUGAGUAUGGUAGAGGUGAGUGGAAUUCCGGGUGUAGAGGUGAAAUUCGUAGAUAUUCGGAGGAACACCAGUGGCGAAGGCGGCUCACUGGACCAUUACUGACGCUGAGGUGCGAAAGCGUGGGGAGCAAACAGG
rnacentral:rRNA from 1 species